GUCCACGCCGUAAACGAUGGAUACUAGCUGUUGGGAGCAAUCUCAGUGGCUAAGCGAAAGUGAUAAGUAUCCCACCUGGGGAGUACGUUCGCAAAGAAUGAAACUCAAAGGAAUUGACGGGGGCCCCGCACAAGCGGUGGAGCAUGUGGUUUAAUUCGAUGAUACGCGAGGAACCUUACCAAGGCUUAAAUGUAGUCUGACAGAUUUGGAAACAGAUUUUUCUUCGGACAGAUUACAAGGUGCUGCAUGGUUGUCGU
rnacentral:rRNA from 1 species